rnacentral:piRNA from 1 species
UGACUCAUUCUGCCAAAUCUUUCUCUGA